UCACACAACUAAUGUCGCUUGUCUGAGGGCUAGAGUUGAGUGCCGCUGCGGCUGCCGCGAAGAAGCUCUGGAUUUUGAGCGAGAAGUGGAGGCGACAAGGUUAAAGGAAGAGGAAAGGCUGCAGAAGAGACUAGAAGAUUUCUUCAGAGAUGAUGAUUUAGAAGAGAAAAAGAACAAACAUGUGUGUAUAAGCAAUGGCACAGACAAGAUCUAAUAUUACAUAAGGCUGAUUUAUGAACUAUAGACUAUUAGACUGCAUGCAUAAGGGAAAUGGAUCAGAAGCUAUAGUCAGAUGAAGGAGUUCCCACCACAAUAUAGAGACUGCAAAUCAAGGGGAAAAAAAUAUUCCCAGGUCCAAAACAAUCUCUCGAAUGUAAGGCAGCCAAGAAUGUGCACAAGUAGAAAGAAAAAGAAAUAUUAAGACUCAAGACACAUAUCACUCUUCAAUGCACUGGCGACUCAAAAUAGGCAGAAGUCUCCAACUGGAGUUCAAAAGCAGAACUAUCUGCCAAGUAGAAAGAAAAGAUACUAAGAACCAGGAGCUUAUUGGCAAAUGAAGUCUUGCUGUAUUGGUUUUGCACUCAUUUGGAUCUUGAAAACAGACACCAGAACCGUCCCCGCGAAAUAGAAACACCAAAGCAGAACAAAUUAGUGGACCCAUAUUGCUGAACCCUCCAAGAGUAUCUAAACAUGUCACCAUCUAACAGGAAAACUAACUCUUCCACCAACGAUAUUUCCAUGCAGAAGCAUUCUCCCUCUUCAGAAUGCUUUCUCAAUUAUGCACCAAAACUAGCAAGAGAGCCAAUCAUGUACCCAGAAAAGGACAAAGGAACAAAAUAGCCUGCCAAAAGGUUAACAGCAUUAAUAUAAUUUAACACAUUGUGCUUACUCUGUUUGAACUUUGAAAUCAUGUACCAAAACCUAUGUGUUGCCAUUUCAGUAAAGCAUAUGAAAACUUACGUGGGACAA